rnacentral:rRNA from 1 species
CAGUCGCCGCGGUAAGACAGAGGAUGCAAGCGUUAUCCGGAAUGAUUGGGCGUAAAGCGUCUGUAGGUGGCUUUUAAAGUCCGCCGUCAAAUCCCAGGGCUCAACCCUGGACAGGCGGUGGAAACUACCAAGCUGGGGUACGGUAGGGGCAGAGGGAACUUCCGGUGGAGCGGUGAAAUGCGUUGAGAUCGGAAAGAACACCAACGGCGAAAGCACUCUGCUGGGCCGACACUGACACUGAGAGACGAAAGCUAGGGGAGCAAAUGGGAUUAGAGACCCCCGUAGUCCCUGUCUCUUAUAC